rnacentral:misc_RNA from 1 species
AGUGGCUGGUGAAAGGUUCGACUCGCUCCAAGUUCGAUCGUACCGCGGUGCAAGCUCGAGUUCAGCGGUUGUUAACGUCGGUCGGUACAGAUCCGAAGAAUGUACCAGCGAUCGACAAGCAUGCUGAAAAAAGUGUCGGGUUUUCUACCGAUGAUCACCACUCCGAGACUGACAAUGGGGUCAUCGGCAUCCGAAGACUUUUUUCUCUUCAACGCUCUCACGACGCGCCGUAUUGUUGCUGCAGGUAGGAGAAGCGACAGAGCGUUUUUAUUUUUUAUUUUUUUUUUCCGUUCCUUCGAUUCGAUUGCUCCGAAGAUUGGUUUUAUACCGAUUCUUCUCUAUCAUUAUAUCCUUCGGGAAAUCCUACCGACGCAUUAUGUCGGCGAUAGUGAAGCCCUGCCUCGCCGGGGCAGGUCUAGGAGGUGGCGGAGGUGGUUGCGGAGUCGGAGCUCUGGGAGGUCGAUUUUCUUCUUCGCGUUCCCUUUCUCGCUCUCUCUCCCUGUCGCGUUCUCUCUCCCUUUCUCUCUCCCGUUCCCGUUCCCGUUCUCUUUCUCUUUCUCUUUCCUUUUCUCUUUCGCGUUCCCGUUCUCGUUCGCGCUCUCUCUGUCUGUCUCUCUCGAGUUCCCUCUCGAUUCCGCGUUCCCGUUCCCGCUCGCGCUCCUGAAGUUCCA